CCAAUAGCGUAUAUUAAAGUUGUUGCAGUUAAAAAGCUCGUAGUUGAAUUUCGGGAUCAGUACGCUGGUCGUGCCUUCGGUAUGUACUGGUGUUACUGGUUCCUACCUUCUGACGAACCGUCAUGUCAUUAAUUUGGUGUGGCGGGGAAUCAGGACUGUUACUUUGAAAAAAUUAGAGUGUUUAAAGCAGGCUCGCGCUUGAAUACAUUAGCAUGGAAUAAUGAAAUAGGACGUUCGAUCCUAUUUUGUUGGUUUCUAGGAUUGACGUAAUGAUUAAUAGGGAUAGUUGGGGUCAUUAGUAUUCAAUUGUCAGAGGUGAAAUUCUUGGAUUUAUUGAAGACUAACUACUGCGAAAGCAUUUGCCAAGGAUGUUUUCAUUAAUCAAGAACGAAAGUUAGGGGAUCGAAGACGAUCAGAUACCGUCGUAGUCUUAACCAUAAACUAUGCCGACUAGGGAUCGGAUGAUGUUAAUUUUUUAAUGACUCAUUCGGCGCCUUACG
rnacentral:rRNA from 1 species